CACGUAGGGGGCGAGCGUUGUCCGGAUUUAUUGGGCGUAAAGGGCUCGUAGGCGGCUCAGUAAGUCGGGUGUGAAACCUCCAGGCUCAACCUGGAGACGCCACUCGAUACUGCUGUGGCUAGAGUCCGGUAGGGGAGCAUGGAAUUCCUGGUGUAGCGGUGAAAUGCGUAGAUAUCGGGAGGAAUACCUAUGGCGAAAGCAGGCUACUGGACCAUCACUGACUCUGAUCUGCGAAAGCUAGGGGAGCAAACAGG
rnacentral:rRNA from 1 species